ACUGUGUGUGGGGAGAGAGGAACACUCAACCUUCGUCUCUCCCGAGCCCGUACGGGAGUUGUAGCCAUGAGACAAGAUAGUAGCUACUAAACAAUUGGACAAUUGGAUACCAUGAAAUUGGGGAGAAAAAUAAAUAAAACAUUCCAAGAAUUACAUAAAGAUCAGCGGCAAACAUACGAUGCACAGAAGUUUAACCAGCCAUGCAAUGGAGAGUAGAAUUCAUGUCGGCUCUCCGGGAACACAGAGUAAAAGGGCAAACUGUAAAAAAAACAUUGUCCGGGGGGACUCUCAAGUAGAGGUCGACCGAUUAAUCGGAAUGGCCGAUUAAUUAGGGCCGAAUUCAAGUUUUCAUAACAAUCGGUAAUCGGCAUUUUUGGACACCGAUCAUGGCCGAUUACAUUGCACUCCACGAGGAGACUGCGUGGCAGGCUGACUACCUGUUAUGUGAGUGCAGCAAGGAGCCAAGGCACUAACUCUGCCGUGAUUCGUUUGACAAAGCCUAUGGGGAAGUGAAUGCCGUUUUUGGAUAAAUCUCGAAAAUAAGGAAUGGCUGAACGAACUAGAGGUAACUCAUUUCCGGAUUUAAUGACUACAAGCUAUAUGGGAUUUGUUUCCACAAAUGCUACAACGUUAGCAUUUGGAAACAGUGCCAGGGAAACUAAACCAAAAGCAUGGUCUGCUGUAGACUGCUAACAGGGGAGCGUUGGGACGGUAACAGAGGUCGCUAGUUCAAAUCCCCGAGCUGACAAGUUUCACUCUACGAAGUGUGUGGGACAGAAUGCCUGGCCGGCUCUACAACACCUGUAGUUGAGCCUGUCUACCAGUGAAAAUCAGAUAAUGAGCUCACCCCAGUACCUACUGCACUCAGGCCGGUACCUACUGCACUCACUACUCCUCGGCCGGCAGUCUCCUCUCCCUCUGAGGAACAAGGGACGAGGCGAGAAAAAGGUCUGGAGGAGCCCAGGACAGUGUGUGUGUGUGUGUGUGUUUACUCACCGUCAUAAUUGACUAUGAUGAUGGCGAGCAUGUAAUCCUUCCCCAGCAUGCUGAUAGGUGUUCCUUCCUUCCUGGCCAACCUGGCUUAGCUGCACCACAUUCCCGUACCAAAAUGUCCUGAUGUCGCCAGGACAACUCUUCCCCGCACACACUCGUUACAACUGCACACAGCGCCAAGCGUCAAAGGACACACUCACAUGCCAAGAGGAUUCCAAAUCUAUUUCUUUCUCUGUCUGACUCUCUGUGCAAGCCCCGUCCCGGGAACUCUCGGGAGUCUUCUCCGUCCGUCUUGCUGAUCUCUUUCUCUCUCUAUCCUGCGUCUCUAUCUCUUUAUCUGUGCUGGAGGGAUGCUGUUUAUUUUACUGCUGCUGCCUUUCGUUUCGCUCUCUUUGUACUGCGCUCAGCGGUGCCUGCAGCUUCCGCCACUCCCCCUCCUCCUUCUCCCCACCCCUUAACCUCUCUUUCUCCCCCUGCCUCUCUGGUUGUCCCCUGUCUCUCGGUGCCUUAAAAGGACUGCUGAGGCCGAGAAAAGGCACUAUGCAGACCAGCAAACAGACCCAAAAAGCAUGCUUUUUCUAGAAGAAAUACAUUACUACAGUUAUAUGGAGACCAACAAGAGGGCAAUAAUACAAAAAUGAAAACUAACGUGCUUUCUCGAGGGUGAGUGCGACUGGUGUAGUCUAUCGAGUAUUUGUGUAGUGAGGGAGUCGUAAUAGGGUUCAAUUCAACUUGAGAUGGGAUGCCUCUCUGUGUAAAAGGGGUGUCUCAGGAAGAUUAGAGAUAACAAUCUGCCCCUCGCAAAGAACCUGCAUCUGCCAAGCCCUACUCUUAAAAAUAUAUGAGAAGGGACACUUUGAGAGUGCUUUUCAUAGCAACGCUAGCAACAUCACAGAAUACAGGAUGAUUUCCUGUGCAUCAGUACGCUGUGGUGUUUUACAGGGAGGAAGUGUGUUCUAUAGGCAGGAAGUGUGUUCUAUAGGCAGGAAGGGUGUUCUAUAGGCAGGCUUCCUUAAAGGCAACGUCUGUGGCUGCAGCUUUUCUAAACCCAUCUCUUUUCCCUAGAUGCAAUGUUGUAGUGUGGUUGUGUGCAGCUCAGUUGGUUUGAUUCCCACAGGGGACCCGUAUGAAAAUGUAUCCACUCACUAUUGUAAAUUGCUCUGGAUAAGAGUGUCUGCUAAACUAUGUAAAAUAAUCUGUCAGUUAAACUAUCCUUAUCACAGUACAACCAGAGGUUUCAACCGAGCAAAACGUUAGAGGCAAUGUAAGAUAGAGAGCCUAUGACUGCAUCUGUCAUAUGGCCAGUACAAUCCAUAGACAAUCUACCUUCAAGCUGCAUAUUCAUGAAUCAAAUGGCCAUACCUGUUGUAUUCAGCGCAUGUGACAAAUACAAUUUGAUUUGACAUAGCCUAAUAAUGUGUCCUCUUGAGCAUUCUUAUAUGGAAAUAUCUUGGAAAACAUGACUGCCACUGGCAUCACAUGGUCUGUAGUUCCAUCGUGUACUUUAUUUCUAUGGUCCACCUUAAUCAGCAUCCAUGUCUUGACGGAUCACACUGCCCGUCAUCGUUCAGUCUGCUUGCAUCAUCCUCUUCUCACCUCCACUCAAUGUGUGUAUAUAUGAAGCCUCCACCCGGUUCGCGUGUGGAAUUUACAACCCCUCUUGAUGUACAAAGCUCCUCUGAUGACAUCAGGCAGAGCCAUGUAUUUGUGCAAACUCUUAGAAUUGUGAAUAUUGUUGUACUUCUUGAUAUUCAGUUUCAUAGCAUUAUGCAAAUGUUCCCCAUAUAAUCCCCCCAAAAGGCUGUCCGAUUACAAUGACUAAUUGUUUCAAAUCAGUUCACUUUACUUGCGAAUACUGCAAGCUAACUUUACGCAUGCCGUGUCCUGUAACUGUACUGGCCUCAAUUCCAAUUCUAAUCAUGUAAUAAAUAAAUAAUAACGCUAGUAGCUAGAUUUUAAAAUGAAUUGAUAUUGCCACAUUGUAAUGAAUGCAUAUAACAGCGAUGUAGUCCAGAAAGUAAACUGAGUAAAAAACAGUCAGCACACCACACAUGACUUUUAGUCACACAUAUUUUAGCAGGGAAGAAAAUCGAGCCCAGUCAAUAAUCAGUACCACCAGCAUUGAUUCAAGACAUGGCGGACGACAAGCUAAAGGAUCUGUCAGAGCUCAAGGACCAGCUAGAGGACAUUCAGCGCCGCGUGGAGAAGGAAGUACAGGCUGGGAUCCCACAGGGUGGCAGUGUGCUGGCCUCUCCUUUCCUCAAGGGCUUCUUGGCAGGAUAUGUUGUGUCUAGGCUGCGAUCCUCUGCGGUUUUGGGCGUGGUCCUUGGGACUUGCACAGGCAUCUUUGCAGCUCAAAACUUUGGCGUGCCCAACAUCGAGGAAACUCUGAAAGACUAUUUCAACACUCUUAAAGGACCCAGCAAGUAGCGGCCCUGGUUUUAGGGGGGGGGAUAUGGAGGGGGAAAUAUGGGGGGGUGGGGAUAUGGAUCUCUGAACCCCUGCCCCCUCAAAAAGAUCCAUUGGACUACCCCACCUCCAAGCCCUCUAUUUUAGAUUGCAGAAUGUUCUGAACUGAGAAAAAAUGAAAUGAUCUGUGUUUGUUAGGAGACAUUUUGGGGGAAACGAUAUAUUCCUUGAAUUACGCAUUAAGUGUCUUUACAAUCAUCUCUUGCAAUGUGUGCAAUAGUCCUGCAGGGACUUUAGUGUAUGUUUUUAUAUUACCUGAAAAAUAACAUUGUUCCUAUUUUAUGCAAUAGGGAUUUUACUUGUUGAAGUAGGUGCUUUAUAGUGGGAGAUCUUAUUUGCCUCAGGUCAGUUUUCUAUUUCGUCUUGCUCGCAGAUCAACCAUAUAACCUUGUUAUACCCAAAUGAUAUGUAUAACCUGUAGUAUCCAGAUGUGAAACAUGACUAAGAUAAUAUUAUGUUCAUAUAUACAAAUAUGUCCCCAGGUCGAUACCAGGUUCUCAACCUAUUUUGGGACUUUUAGGUCACUGUAAGUCUAUAGUAUUCACACCCCUUGACUUUUUCCACAUGUUGUUGUGUUACAGCCUGAAUUUAAAAUGGAUUACAUUUGGAUCGUUUUGUCACUGGUCUACACACUACUCCCAUAAUGUCAAAGUGAAAUUACGUUUUUAGAAAUGUGUACAAAUUCAUUAAAAAUUAAACGCUGAAAUGUCUUCAGUCAA